GACGAACGCUGGCGGCGUGCUUAACACAUGCAAGUCGAACGGAGUGGCGAACGGGUGAGUAAUACGUGAGUAACCUGCCUUCUUCUUUGGGAUAAGCCUGGGAAACUGGGUCUAAUACUGGAUAGUGGGGGAUGGGCUCACGGCCUAUCAGCUUGUUGGUGGGGUGAUGGCCUACCAAGGCGGUGACGGGUAGCCGGCCUGAGAGGGUGACCGGCCACAUUGGGACUGAGAUACGGCCCAGACUCCUACGGGAGGCAGCAGUGGGGAAUAUUGCACAAUGGACGGAAGUCUGAUGCAGCGACGCCGCGUGGGGGAUGACGGCCUUCGGGUUGUAAACUCCUUUCACCAUCGACGCGGUAGAUGGAGAAGAAGCACCGGCUAACUACGUGCCAGCAGCCGCGGUAAUUC
rnacentral:rRNA from 1 species